rnacentral:lncRNA from 1 species
CCUUGGCCUCUGCGUGAACUUCAAACACUCAACAAAAAUGACACAUCGUCAUCCACGUCAGAUUUUAAUGACACGUCAUUAAUUAUUACUUUUUUUAAAAAAAAUAUUUUUUUCUUUUUCUCUUCAUUCCUCCUCAUGCUUCCUUAAACCUGUCUCUCUCCAUUUUUAAAAUUAGAUCUCAUCACCACAAUGUUCCAUCUUCA